rnacentral:lncRNA from 1 species
CUAAGCUCUGCAGGGUGGUGUCCACUAAACUUUGUGGGGUGGUGUCCACUAAGCUCUGCGGGGUGGUGUCCACUAAGCUCUGCAGGGUGGUGUCCACUAAGCUCUGCAAGGUGGUGUCCACUAAGCUCUGCAGGGUGGUGUCCACUAAACUUUGUGGGGUGGUGUCCACUAAGCUCUGCAGGGUGGUGUCCACUAAGCUCUGCAAGGUGGUGUCCACUAAGCUCUGCAGGGUGGUGUCCACUAAACUUUGUGGGGUGGUGUCCACUAAGCUCUGCGGGGUGGUGUCCAUGGUGCUGAUUCAAGAUACAUUUUGACAUGUACUGUGAGGACAGCCCAUUGAUGGUUCAGCUGUAGAUUUUCCAUUAUGUUCUUGGGUAGAAUGUCUAAGAACAGGCUUACCUUUCCACCAACCUGUGGGAGUAUUGUGUGCUUAGUGAAUUAUUAACGUGCUCACACAUAUUACAAGCUAAUAGGAGUACAUGCUGAUCAGAUCACUGUCUCUAUAAUGUCAACAUUAGUUUCUGCAGGAUCAGAGAGAUGGUCCUCUGAAUUCCAAUAGGAUCCUUUCGAUGUAGUUUAGCCUAUAAAAUACAUGUAGAAUAUAUAGU